GAGGGGGACUGGGCAUGAUUACAUCGCCAUAUUGGAUUUGCUCAACCCGAGAAGGGUUGAGCAAAAUUCAUGUGCUUUAUCGUCAUACUACUUACGCUCCCAACAAAACAACACAUACACCGAGUCGAUAGGCCCACUCACUAAAUCUGUUCUAAGCGUUUUUGGCCGGGCUAUUCAUAUCGAUCUCAUCAAGAGAACCUGUGACUACAGGUUACCGCUCAAAAUUGCUAAAAACUGCUGAAAAACACUUCAAACUACUAAAAAUAUAUCAUAUGUAAUAUUAUUGACUCUUUGAGAUGGCUCCCGGUUAUAUCCGCUUUCUUAUUAGCAAUAUUACGAAGUCCUUAAAGGCGAAGUUUUACUUCGUUGUUUUGUCAGCUCUUGCAACAGCCAAGAGAGUUGAAUAAAUCUGAACAACAGAUUACCCACGAGGAAGCUAACGUAACAGCCGAUGCGCCAUUAGAUAAUCAUGAUGAAAAGGAAAGCUGUCAAACAACUCAGCAGGGUUAUCAGAAGAUUUGAUUGAUGCAUGGACAGCAACAAGUAUGAGUCUGGCUCCUGGAGUUUUAUUCUAUCUAAUCACCUUGGAUGUAAAGUUCCAAAGAUUCUUAUUGAGAUAGCAAUAGAAUCAAGAUGUACAUAGACAUUCUUUAUGGGUUGUUUACGCUGGAAUUCUCACCAUUCCAUGCUUCUUUUGUAAAUUGAUCAUACAGCUAAUUGUUGUUGAACAGCUAUUUCUAGAAGCAAAGUUUUGUGAAGAGACAAGAAUAAAAACAAAUCUUGUGAACAUGCACCAAAAUAAAUUGUUAUUGUAUUUCUCUACAGAGUAAAAAAAGGAUAUCAAUUGACAUCAUUUGAUUUAUACUCUUUUGAAAAUAAAAUUUAGAAAUGGUUGGCA